rnacentral:rRNA from 1 species
UACGGAAGGCAGCAGUGGGGAAUAUUGCACAAUGGGCGCAAGCCUGAUGCAGCCAUGCCGCGUGUAUGAAAAAGGCCUUCGGGUUGUAAAGUACUUUCAGUCGUGAGGAAGGUGUUAAGGUUAAUAACCUUAGCAAUUGACGUUAGCGACAGAAGAAGCACCGGCUAACUCCGUGCCAGCAGCCGCGGUAAUACGGAGGGUGCGAGCGUUAAUCGGAAUUACUGGGCGUAAAGGGCACGCAGGCGGUUAAUUAAGUUGGAUGUGAAAUCCCCGGGCUUAACCUGGGAAUGGCAUUCAAGACUGGUUAGCUAGAGUCUUGUAGAGGGGGUAGAAUUCCAUGUGUAGCGGUGAAAUGCGUAGAGAUGUGGAGGAAUACCGGUGGCGAAGGCGGCCCCUGGACAAAGACUGACGCUCAUGUGCGAAAGCGUGGGGAGCAAAC